CCUACGGGAGGCAGCAGUGGGGAAUAUUUCACAAUGGGGGAAACCCUGAUGCAGCGACGCCGCGUGAGGGAAGAAGUAAUUCGUUAUGGAAAGCUCUAGCAGCAGGGAAGAAAAUGACGGUACCUGAGUAAGAAGCCCCGGCUAACUACGUGCCAGCAGCCGCGGUAAUACGUAGGGGGCAAGCGUUAUCCGGAUUUGCUGGGUGUAAAGGGAGCGUAGACGGCAGUGCAAGUCUGGAGUGAAAGGCGGGGGCUCAACCCCCGGACUGCUCUGGAAACUGUACGGCUGGAGUGCAGGAGAGGGAAGUGGAAUUCCCAGUGUAGCGGUGAAAUGCGUAGAUAUUAGGAGGAACACCAGUGGCGAAGGCGGCUUCCUGGACUGUAACUGACGUUGAGGCUCGAAAGCGUGGGGAGCAAACAGGAUUAGAUACCCCAGUAGUC
rnacentral:rRNA from 1 species